rnacentral:lncRNA from 1 species
GCUUAUUCUACAAUUUUGUGUGGUUUAAUCAUGAUUGAGAUUUUUCAUUAAGAAUUGUACACCAUUGACUAUGCAUGCUAAAUAUACUGAUACAAAUCUGUCAGAUUUUUGUGCUAGUGUGGCUAAGUCAUCACUGAUACAGUUAGGAUUGUCUAUACGUAGCUGAGCUACCUACAAUUAAAAGAACAAUAAGUAGGUUAAGUUUGACAAAAUAAAUACUAUAUAAAUGAACCUUUAAGUCAUGGUGAACAUUAAC